GUGGGGAAUCUUCCGCAAUGGGCGAAAGCCUGACGGAGCAACGCCGCGUGAGUGACGAAGGCCUUCGGGUCGUAAAACUCUGUCUUCAGGGAAGAGCAAAGACGGUACCUGAGGAGGAAGCCCCGGCUAACUACGUGCCAGCAGCCGCGGUAAAACGUAGGGGGCGAGCGUUGUCCGGAAUUACUGGGCGUAAAGGGCGUGUAGGCGGCCCAAGAAGUCAGAAGUGAAAGCCCGCGGCUCAACCGCGGAACUGCUACUGAAACCAUUGGGCUUGAGUACGGGAGAGGAAAGUGGAAUUCCCAGUGUAGCGGUGAAAUGCGUAGAUAUUGGGAGGAACACCAGUGGCGAAAGCGGCUUUCUGGCCUGGAACUGACGCUGAGGCGCGAAAGCGUGGGGAGCAAACAGGAUUAGAAACCCUAGUAGUCC
rnacentral:rRNA from 1 species